AUUUCCGUGGUGUAACGGUUAGUACGUUGGACUCUGAAUCCAGUAAUGCGAGUUCAAAUCUCGGUCCGACUUG